rnacentral:rRNA from 1 species
AGCGACACUAUGUGUUGUUGGGUAGGGGAGCGUUCUGUAAGCCUGUGAAGGUGUACUGUGAGGUAUGCUGGAGGUAUCAGAAGUGCGAAUGCUGACAUAAGUAACGAUAAAGCGGGUGAAAAGCCCGCUCGCCGGAAGACCAAGGGUUCCUGUCCAACGUUAAUCGGGGCAGGGUGAGUCGACCCCUAAGGCGAGGCCGAAAGGCGUAGUCGAUGGGAAACAGGUUAAUAUUCCUGUACUUGGUGUUACUGCGAAGGGGGGACGGAGAAGGCUAUGUUGGCCGGGCGACGGUUGUCCCGGUUUAAGCGUGUAGGCUGGUUUUCCAGGCAAAUCCGGAAAAUCAAGGCUGAGGCGUGAUGACGAGGCACUACGGUGCUGAAGCGACAAAUGCCCUGCUUCCAGGAAAAGCCUCUAAGCAUCAGGUAACAUCAAAUCGUACCCCAAACCGACACAGGUGGUCAGGUAGAGAAUACCAAGGCGCUUGAGAGAACUCGGGUGAAGGAACUAGGCAAAAUGGUGCCGUAACUUCGGGAGAAGGCACGCUGAUAUGUAGGUGAAGCGACUUGCUCGUGGAGCUGAAAUCAGUCGAAGAUACCAGCUGGCUGCAACUGUUUAUUAAAAACACAGCACUGUGCAAACACGAAAGUGGACGUAUACGGUGUGACGCCUGCCCGGUGCCGGAAGGUUAAUUGAUGGGGUUAGCGGUAACGCGAAGCUCUUGAUCGAAGCCCCGGUAAACGGCGGCCGUAACUAUAACGGUCCUAAGGUAGCGAAAUUCCUUGUCGGGUAAGUUCCGACCUGCACGAAUGGCGUAAUGAUGGCCAGGCUGUCUCCACCCGAGACUCAGUGAAAUUGAACUCGCUGUGAAGAUGCAGUGUACCCGCGGCAAGACGGAAAGACCCCGUGAACCUUUACUAUAGCUUGACACUGAACAUUGAGCCUUGAUGUGUAGGAUAGGUGGGAGGCUUUGAAGUGUGGACGCCAGUCUGCAUGGAGCCGACCUUGAAAUACCACCCUUUAAUGUUUGAUGUUCUAACGUGGGCCCCUUACCGGGGUUGCGGACAGUGUCUGGUGGGUAGUUUGACUGGGGCGGUCUCCUCCUAAAGAGUAACGGAGGAGCACGAAGGUUGGCUAAUCCUGGUCGGACAUCAGGAGGUUAGUGCAAUGGCAUAAGCCAGCUUGACUGCGAGCGUGACGGCGCGAGCAGGUGCGAAAGCAGGUCAUAGUGAUCCGGUGGUUCUGAAUGGAAGGGCCAUCGCUCAACGGAUAAAAGGUACUCCGGGGAUAACAGGCUGAUACCGCCCAAGAGUUCAUAUCGACGGCGGUGUUUGGCACCUCGAUGUCGGCUCAUCACAUCCUGGGGCUGAAGUAGGUCCCAAGGGUAUGGCUGUUCGCCAUUUAAAGUGGUACGCGAGCUGGGUUUAGAACGUCGUGAGACAGUUCGGUCCCUAUCUGCCGUGGGCGCUGGAGAACUGAGGGGGGCUGCUCCUAGUACGAGAGGACCGGAGUGGACGCAUCACUGGUGUUCGGGUUGUCAUGCCAAUGGCACUGCCCGGUAGCUAAAUGCGGAAGAGAUAAGUGCUGAAAGCAUCUAAGCACGAAACUUGCCCCGAGAUGAGUUCUCCCUGACUCCUUGAGAGUCCUGAAGGAACGUUGAAGACGACGACGUUGAUAGGCCGGGUGUGUAAGCGCAGCGAUGCGUUGAGCUAACCGGUACUAAUGAACCGUGAGGCUUAACCUU